AUCCUUCUGGUUCAAAACGCAUGAUGAAUGGGAAGUCACGCGACUGCGUGAUGGUGCCAACCUCCAGUUACGCAAUGGCACAUCCCGUCUGACU